rnacentral:ncRNA from 1 species
UGUCUUCGGGGCGGGGUGCAAUUCCCCACUGGCGGUCAUGCGGCGCAAGCCGAUAAGCCCGCGAGCGAAAGCUGAUUCUGGUGCGAGUCCAGAGCCAACGGUACAGUCCGGAUGAAAGAAGC